rnacentral:rRNA from 1 species
CGCCCGUCGCUCCUACCGAUUGGGUGUGCUGGUGAGAUGUCGGGAUUAGUGGCUGUGGGCGGUUCGCCGCCCCCUGCCGCUGAGAACUUCAUCAAACCCUCCCACCUAGAGGAAGGAGAAGUCGUAACAAGGUUCCU